GAGUUUGAUCCUGGCUCAGAUUGAACGCUGGCGGCGUGCUUAACACAUGCAAGUCGAACGAGAAAGGGACUUCGGUCCUGAGUAGAGUGGCGCACGGGUGAGUAACGCGUAGAUAAUCUACCUCUGCAUCUGGGAUAACACUUCGAAAGGGGUGCUAAUACCGGAUAAGCCCACGGAGUCUUUGGACUUUGCGGGAAARGGGGGGGACCUCCGGGCCUUCUGUCAUCARAUGAGUCUGCGUACCAUUAGCUAGUUGGUAGGGUAAAGGCCUACCAAGGCUACGAUGGUUAGCUGGUCUGAGAGGAUGAUCASCCACACUGGAACUGAGACACGGUCCAGACUCCUACGGGAGGCAGCAGUGGGGAAUUUUGCGCAAUGGGCGAAAGCCUGACGCAGCAACGCCGCGUGAGUGAUGAAGGCCUUCGGGUCGUAAAGCUCUGUCAGAGGGGAAGAACCUCCUGGGGGAUAAUAACCCCCAGGCCUGACGGUACCCUCAAAGGAAGCACCGGCUAACUCCGUGCCAGCAGCCGCGGUAAUAC
rnacentral:rRNA from 1 species